GAAUAUUUAUAGUGUUUAUCCUAUACCUGUUUCACCAUUGUAUAUUGAUGUGUGAGAAGCAGAGAACCUGGAUUUCUAUUUUCACAGGUCUCUAUAGUAAGAGAAACUCCAUAUAAGCAGCUGAACUUUGGAACUAACCCUGAGAAAUCUCAUCCAUACCCAGAUCUGACUUAGUUGAUGAGAUCCUGGACUUUGAGCUGAUGCUAUAAUGACAUGAGACGUUGGGGACCUUGGGAGGGAAUUAAUGUAUUUGGAAUGUGAGAGAAAAGUUUCCCUAUGGAGAGAACCAUGUGAACAAGAAACUGAUGUCUUUGGGCAACGGCCAGCAAGGAUCUGAGACCUGCCAAGAAUUACAUAAAUGUGUUUGUGGAAGUGGAUAUUCAUCUAGCCCAGCCUCGUAUGAUUGGAGCUCCAGCCAACAACUUCAUGACACCCUUGCAAAGCAUCUUGAUCCUUAGAAAUCCACUUAAACUUUGCCCCGAUUCCUGACCCACAGCUUUGGGAUAAUGAAUGUCUGAUGUUU
rnacentral:lncRNA from 1 species